UACGUAGGGGGCUAGCGUUGUCCGGAAUCAUUGGGCGAAAGCGCGUGUAGGCGGUCCGGUAAGUCCGCUGUGAAAGUCGGGGGCUCAACCCUCGGAUGCCGGUGGAUACUGUCGGCUUGAGUACGGAAGAGGAGAGUGGAAUUGCCUGGUGGUAAGCGGUGGAAAUGCGCAGAUAGUCAGGAAGAACACCCGUGCGAAGGCGGCUCUCGUGGGACGGUACUGACG
rnacentral:rRNA from 1 species